GGCUGCGAUCAUACCAGCACUAAUGCACCGGAUCCCAUCAGAACUCCGCAGUUAAGCGUGCAUGGGCGAGAGUAGUACUAGGAUGGGUGACCCCCUGGGAAGUCCUCGUGUUGCAACCC
rnacentral:rRNA from 1 species